CGGGUGAGUAACGCGUGGGUAACCUGCCUUGUACUGGGGGGCGAACAGUUGGAAACGACUGCUAAUACCGCAUAAGCGCACAGCUUCGCAUGAAGCAGUGUGAAAAACUCCGGUGGUACAAGAUGGACCCGCGUCUGAUUAGCUGGUUGGUGAGGUAACGGCCCACCAAGGCGACGAUCAGUAGCCGGCCUGAGAGGGUGAACGGCCACAUUGGGACUGAGACACGGCCCAA
rnacentral:rRNA from 1 species